rnacentral:rRNA from 1 species
GGAAUAUUGGACAAUGGGCGAAAGCCUGAUCCAGCCAUGCCGCGUGAGUGAAGAAGGCCUUAGGGUUGUAAAGCUCUUUCACCUGCGAAGAUGAUGACGGUAGCAGGAGAAGAAGCACCGGCUAACUCCGUGCCAGCAGCCGCGGUAAGACGGAGGGUGCUAGCGUUGGUCGGAAUCACUGGGCGUAAAGGGCGCGUAGGCGGCCUUUGGUGUCGGAUGUGAAAGCCCGGGGCUCAACUCCGGAGGUGCAUCCGAAACUCGAAGGCUGGAGGCCGGAAGAGGAGGGUGGAAUACCCAGUGUAGAGGUGAAAUUCGUAGAUAUUGGGUGGAACACCGGUGGCGAAAGCGGCUCUCUGGUCCGGUCCUGACGCUGAGGCGCGAAAGCGUGGGGAGCAAAC